GAAUUGAAAAAGUUUAAAGGAGUCUAUCAGUGGCAAAAUGGUAACUUUUAGCCGUUAACCUAUAUACCUGAUAUUGCAGGUCAAAGAUUUUUAUGAAACAAAAUGAAAGUAAGAAUGUUCAUGGGAUUCUUCGAAGUUAAGGACCAAAAUUGAACAAUCCUCAAAGUUGACGCACGAGCGGUGUAGUUAACCCUCAUGUCUAGGGAUGAGCAAAUGUCAAUUAUAAUUGAACAAAAUUGUUCUAAUUUGGUUUUUCAGUUCGGUUAAUUUAAUAAAAAACUGAACUAACCGAACCAAUCGAACUAAGUCCAACCUUCUCACAACCUGUUCAAGCCUAGCUUAUUUAAGCCCAACUUGUCUUGUCUCCCCAAUCCAAAUUCCCCUUCAUCACAACUCCAAAAUUCCAUACGUCACCAAUGCUAAAGGGCAGAGAGAGGAUACUGAGAAUCAGAGAGCAUCAAGAGGAAGAGCAAAUGAGGAUCAGUUCCUAUGGUCUUUACGCAAUGAAAUCCCUCACCACUCCAGUCGACACCAUCACAAGACAUUGCCAGGUGCCAUCUCAAUGAAAUCGCUCAUCACCAUCAUGGAAUCCUUCCCUCCCUCCUCUUUCCUCGACUCUUCGACUUUAUUGUUGUGGCCUAUUCUGUCUAAUCUCUCCUUAUUUCUUCUUGACAAGUCCUCAAGCUGAUAUAUGUCAGCAGCAACCUAUCGGCUAUUGCCUACAAUGGAUUGUUGCCAUAUUUCAAAUUAGGUUCAUUUCAUUUUCUUCUCUUUGCUAUAUUUUCAAAAUUUUUUCCUAUUGUACUGAUUCAUUGUUUUAAUUGUUGAUUUUGU
rnacentral:misc_RNA from 1 species